UGGAUAAGGGCGUAUGGGGAAUGCCUAGGCUCUCAGAGGCGAAGAAGGACGCGAUAAGCUGCGAAAAGCUGCGGGGAUCGGCACAUACGAUAUGAUCCGCAGGUAUCCGAAUGGGGCAACCCACCAUAUUGAAGGUAUGGUAUCCCGUAAGGGAGGCAAACCCGGUGAACUGAAACAUCUAAGUAGCCGGAGGAGGAGAAAACAAAAGUGAUUCCGUGAGUAGUGGCGAGCGAAAGCGGAUUAGUCCAAACCAUAACUGUUUCGGCAGUUGUGGGGUUGUAGGACCACGAUAUUGGAUGCGCGAUGAACUGGAACCCUUUGGAAAGAGGGGCCGUAGACGGUGAUAGCCCGGUACAGGCAAAGGACGUUAUCCAUAGUGGUAUCCUGAGUAGCGCGGGGCACGUGAAACCCUGUGUGAAUCCGGCGGGACCAUCCGCCAAGACUAAAUACUCCUGAGAGACCGAUAGUGAACCAGUACCGUGCGGGAAAGGUGAAAAGCACCC
rnacentral:rRNA from 21 species